rnacentral:tRNA from 1 species
GGAUUGUGGCUCAGCGGUAGAGCGCUUGCCUUGCACGUGCAAGACCCUGGGUUCAAUCCUCAGCACCA